rnacentral:rRNA from 1 species
CGAGUGGCGAACGGGGUGAGUAACGCGUGAGGAACCGUGCCUCAAAGAGGGGGGACAACAGUUGGAAACGACUGCUAAUACCGCAUAAGCCCACGACCCGGCAUCGGGUAGAGGGAAAAGGAGCAAUCCGCUUUGAGAUGGCCUCGCGUCCGAUUAGCUAGUUGGUGAGGUAACGGCCCACCAAGGCAACGAUCGGUAGCCGGACUGAGAGGUUGAACGGCCACAUUGGGACUGAGACACGGCCCAG